CCACUCCCGCAACGCUACUCUGUUUACCAGGUCAGGUCCGGAAGGAAGCAGCCAGAGCAGACGACGUGUGUGCCGGGAUGUAGCU
rnacentral:SRP_RNA from 1 species